GUCAAUAAAUUUAGGAAAACGAAAUGACGUAAACACCAAAUAGUAAAAUUUAUCUUCACAAAUUACAAAUAGUAUCUUCUACAACCUUGUUAAUAAAGAAACGUCUUCGAUAAGUUAUUAUUGUGAAAGCGCGUUCCAAGUGAUAAAAUACUUAUGUAGUGAUUGGGGAACAAAAAUGUACUCGUGGUGUCUUAUUACAUAUUGUGCAUUUUUUUUUAUAAUUUUAAGUAACGGUGCCGUUUUACGGGACGACGAUGUUGACCACCAAGGACUUUAUAGCAAGGCAGACCAAGUUACAAUAUUAACAAACUUAAAUUUCAACAAAAAAAUUUAUGGCCAACGAAAUGCCUAUUUAGUUCAAUUUUAUAACAGCUAUUGUGGACAUUGCCGGGCAUUUGCACCAAAAUUUAAGAGCUUAGCUGCAGAAAUUGCCCCAUGGGAAAAUAUUAUAAAAUUAGCGGUUAUUGAUUGCUCAGUUGAAGAAAACAAUGAAAUCUGUAGACAAUUUGAAGUCAUGGCCUACCCAUCGCUCCGAUAUUUACAUGAAAAAUAUGUUAUUGGUAAUGCUUUUGUUGGGGACAAUUUUAUGUUUGCAGACACAGUAAAAAAAUUAAAAGCUCAAUUAAUCAUGAAAAUGCGAUCUGAGCAAAAUGUAGGUCGAUUACUAUUUGCACCUAAUCUAGGUAUUGCUGCAUAUGGUUCUUAUGCUGCAGCUUUAAAUACUGUUUCCGCUAAUGUUGUUUAUACUUUCCUUGUAUUCGAAAGUGAAAAUUCAACAGUUGGUUCAGAACUUGCCCUUGAUAUUAAUGACUAUAAAAACAUUAAUGUUCGUCGGGUAUAUGAAAACAGUGAGUUAGCUACAAUUGCAAGUGUCACUCAAUAUCCUGGUCUAGUUGCUGUUAAAUCAACUUCAGAAGUCACUCGGCUCACUCCAAAGAAUCCUACAAAGCAGAAUCUUCUUAAAGCUGUUAACACAUUUUUAAAAUCUAAUGACUUUGUUUUUCCUGUAAGAAGCAAAGUGGUAGAAGACAAUUCCGAUAGUUUUAUAUUUUCUGAAACUUCUACUGCAGAAUCUGAUAUUGUUUAUUAUUCAGACUUAGAAAGGACAUUAAAAACCAGUUUACAUACAGAAAUAUUGAGGCAUAAAAUGUUGAGUGGUGAAGUUUUACAAGCUCUGUUAAAUUACCUAAAUGUUCUUAUUGUGUCAUUCCCUGCAAGAAAAAACCUGAAAGAGUAUUUAACUGACUUACAUAAUGCUUUAGCUUCAAAAAAUGAAUGGAGUGGUAGUGAAGUUUAUCAAUUAGUCAAAAGCCGUGAAGCUGCUCAUGAGCCUGUAUAUUCAAGCAAUUUAGACUAUAUUGGAUGUAAAGGCAGCCAGCCACAGUACAGAGGGUACACAUGUGGCCUGUGGAUUUUGUUUCAUACUCUAACUGUAAAUGCUGCUCAGAAGCCUGGUUCACAAGGGCCUAGAGUACUUAGUGCCAUGCAUGGCUAUGUAAAGCAUUUCUUUGGUUGCACUGAAUGUUCCCAACAUUUCCAAGCAAUGGCAGAAAAGAACAAAAUAUUUCAAAUUACAGAAAAUGACAAAGCUGUCCUCUGGCUCUGGAUUGCACACAAUGAGGUUAAUUUAAGACUGGCUGGUGAUGUAACUGAAGAUUCAAAACAUCCGAAGAUACAAUAUCCCAGUGUUGACAAUUGUCCAAAAUGUAGACUCGCUCGUGGUGCUUGGAAUUUACCAGAAGUUUAUAAAUAUCUGCAAAAAGUGUAUGAUGCUGACAACAUAAGAGACCUACGAAAAGCAAGAUCUGCAGCAACUGCACAGAGCCCACUUUCCAGUCUGGAUAUUGGAAUGCUAAGCCUUCUGUACAUAUUUUCUUUUUUUAUACUUAUUUUAGCUAUUAAGUUUUUACUUUCGAAAAGGUUUUUUAGAACACGUCGCUAUAAACAUGCCUGGGGUAAAGUAUAAACUAGCUAUUGUUUUGAAAUAAUUUUGAUCAUAUUCAAACCAAUACAACAAUUUGUAUAAUGGGUGCUCUCUGUAUUAAUUGUAGUUUUAAAUUUACAAAACAUUUAAGUAAGAUAAUUAUGAUGAAGAUUUUAAAAGCAUCAUUCACCCUAAUAGUAUGCUGUUGUUUUAAUUUAUAUAGGAUUAAUGUAAUAAAGCUAUAUAUAUAUAUAUUAUUUAAAAAAUAUAUAUUAUAGAAUAGAGAUUUGCUAUCAAGUAUUCUUGUUUGUUAAUUUAGCAUAAUAGCAAUUAUAUCAUUCUUUAUGUUGUUCUACACACAUAUAUAUAUAUAUAUAUGUCUAAGUAAAAAUAGUUCAUUUAUACAUUUUGAAAAUUGCUCAAGUAAUAAAACAUUAGCUCCUUGAAAUACUCGGAUAUAAAGAUACAAUUAAUAGUGUACACCAAAAAACAUUCCAUAAAAGGCAUUUUUAUAAUAUACAACUAACUGGUUUUGAUGCAUCAAAUGUGUGAUUUUGCAUACAUUGAUAAUUUUUUUUUUAUUAAUUUUAUAUUAUAAAAUAAAGAAAUAUUAUUGACAAGACAUUUUUGAAAAUAUUCUUAUAUAGAUGUUUUUUUUAGAUAUAAAUUUUUUAUUAGAUUAUUAAGGUAAAAUGUUAUAAUAUAUUUUAAUAGAAUAUUUACGUGCUCUUUCUUACUUAUGAAACGCAAUUUAUUUUAAUAAGUCAUAUUAAAAAAACCAUAAUCAUAAUAGAUUAUCAAGUCCCCAUGAUAAAUGUGAUUUUAACAUAUCAUCUAGAUUUCAUUUCUCCCAUUUAUUACCAAAUGCAAUGUUCAUUUCAUUUCAUAUAACUUCCGUUUUGGUUUUGUUACAUUAAAAAAUAAUUCUUUACGCAGUUUACUUCAUCACGUCUGGAGAAACUUCCUAUAAAUAAAGUAAGGUUAAUGGCAUGACGGACCGAUGAACAUUAUGAACUUUAAGAAGUCUUUUACCAACAUUCAUCCAGUGAAUCCUUAAUAUAAUGAUUGUUAAUUAAUUUUAGUUUUGUCAAUUACAAGUUAAGAGAAAAUGAUAUCGAUAUAAAUGUAAUUAAAGUAAUUAAAUUAU